rnacentral:rRNA from 1 species
AAUCAACGCUGGCGGCGUGCCUAACACAUGCAAGUCGAACGAGAAAGAGGGGGCAACUCCUCGAGUAAAGUGGCGACCGGGUGAGUAACACGUGACUAACCUACCCUUGAGUGGGGAAUAACCUUCCGAAAGGAGGGCUAAUACCGCAUAACAUCGCGAGGCGAGAUUCCUUGUGAUCAAAGGAGCAAUUCGCUUAAGGAGGGGGUCGCGGCUGAUUAGUUAGUUGGUGAGGUAACGGCUCACCAAGGCGAUGAUCAGUAUCCGGCCUGAGAGGGCGCACGGACACACUGGAACUGAAACACGGUCCAGACUCCUACGGGAGGCAGCAGUGGGGAAUUUUGCGCAAUGGGGGAAACCCUGACGCAGCAACGCCGCGUGGAGGAUGAAGGUCUUUGGAUUGUAAACUCCUUUCGAUCGGGACGAUUAUGACGGUACCGGAAGAAGAAGCACCGGCUAACUCUGUGCCAGCAGCCGCCGUAAGAC